rnacentral:rRNA from 1 species
GAUGAACGCUGGCGGCGUGCCUAAUACAUGCAAGUCGAGCGAACAGACGAGGAGCUUGCUCCUCUGACGUUAGCGGCGGACGGGUGAGUAACACGUGGAUAACCUACCUAUAAGACUGGGAUAACUUCGGGAAACCGGAGCUAAUACCGGAUAAUAUAUUGAACCGCAUGGUUCAAUAGUGAAAGACGGUUUUGCUGUCACUUAUAGAUGGAUCCGCGCCGCAUUAGCUAGUUGGUAAGGUAACGGCUUACCAAGGCAACGAUGCGUAGCCGACCUGAGAGGGUGAUCGGCCACACUGGAACUGAGACACGGUCCAGACUCCUACGGGAGGCAGCAGUAGGGAAUCUUCCGCAAUGGGCGAAAGCCUGACGGAGCAACGCCGCGUGAGUGAUGAAGGUCUUCGGAUCGUAAAACGCUGUUAUUAGGGAAGAACAAAUGUGUAAGUAACUAUGCACGUCUUGACGGUACCUAAUCAGAAAACCACGGCUAACUACGU